GGGUCCGCGGAUUUAUCGAGUCCGCGGAGGAGUUCUGCAAAUGGUCGGGCCGCCAUCUG
rnacentral:ncRNA from 1 species